rnacentral:rRNA from 1 species
UACAGAGGUCCCAAGCGUUGUUCGGAUUCACUGGGCGUAAAGGGUGCGUAGGUGGCAGGGUAAGUUUGAUGUGAAAUCUCCGAGCUUAACUCGGAAACUGCAUUGAAUACUAUCCUGCUCGAGGGUUGGAAGGGGGACUGGAAUUCUCGGUGUAGCAGUGAAAUGCGUAGAUAUCGAGAGGAACACCAGUGGCGAAGGCGAGUCCCUGGACAACACCUGACACUGAGGCACGAAAGCUAGGGGAUCAAACAGG